rnacentral:rRNA from 1 species
GUGAGGAAUAUUGGUCAAUGGGCGCAAGCCUGAACCAGCCAUGCCGCGUGCAGGAAGACGGUCCUAUGGAUUGUAAACUGCUUUUAUUUGGGAAUAAACUCCGGUACGUGUACCGGCCUGAAGGUACCAAAUGAAUAAGCACCGGCUAACUCCGUGCCAGCAGCCGCGGUAAUACGGAGGGUGCAAGCGUUAUCCGGAAUCAUUGGGUUUAAAGGGUCCGCAGGCGGUCUUAUAAGUCAGUGGUGAAAGCCUACAGCUCAACUGUAGAACUGCCAUUGAUACUGUAGGACUUGAAUUCGAUCGAAGUGGGCGGAAUGUGACAUGUAGUGGUGAAAUGCUUAGAUAUGUCACAGAACACCGAUAGCGAAGGCAGCUCACUAGGUCUGGAUUGACGCUCAGGGACGAAAGCGUGGGGAGCAAACAGGAUUAGAUACCCGGGUAGUCC